AUUGAACGCUGGCGGCAGGCUUAACACAUGCAAGUCGAGCGAGCGGCGGACGGGUGUGUAAUGUCUGGGAAACAUCCUGAUGGCGAGGGAGAUCAACUGGAAACGGGAGCUAAUACCGCAUACCAUCAGGUGUGCCCAGAGUGGAUUAGCUAGAAGGUGUGGUAAUGGCUCACCUAGGCGACGAUCCCUAGCUGUUCGUAGAGGAUGACAAGCCAAACUGGAACUGAGCCCCGGUCCAGACUACUACGGGAGGCAGCAGUGGGGAAGAUUGCACAAUGUGCGCAAGCCUGAUGCAGCCAUGCCGAGUGUGUGAAGAAGGCCUUCGGGUUGUAAAGCACUUUCAGCGAGGAGGCGUUACUCGCAGAAGAAUCACCGGCUAACUCCGUGCCAGCAGCCGCGGUAAUAC
rnacentral:rRNA from 1 species